AAUGGUUCCCAAGGAAAUGGA
rnacentral:piRNA from 2 species